ACCAAUUGUGUGGCUGUGACAAUUACAGUCAGUGCCUGCUUGUCAGUAAAGCAUCUGGGGUUGUCAGAUGGCCAAAUCUAACCACACUGACAGUUCCCAGUCAGGCAGCUGCACCAGCAGGAGUGACAACCAUCUCGAUGGAAGAAAUUACUCUGAUCAUGGCUUGGGGUUCCUGAAAAAUGCUCCCAUCCUGAUAACCUAGAACUACAGAUGAUGCUGUGAGAAAGGAUGGAAAGAAGGUGGCAAAACCCACAGUAAAUGAAAAAAAUUAAACCAGCAACUAUGCACCCCAAUCUUGCCAGAAGUGGGCCAAGAAUGUCUGAAGGUGCAUGAAGGUAGGAAGAUGCAAGAAGAGCACCGAGCAGCAUGACCUCCUAAGGAGACAGUGGCCUAAUGCAAGGGGAGAAAAUUCCAAAGCAAUUAGGGAAAAGUAGAGAAAUAGAAGAAGAGAAAAGGAUUAGAAGCAAGACUGGAGGACAAAGGAAGAUUACACAAGCGUUGGGAACUGGUGAAGAAGGCAGGAGGGAAAGAAAGAAGAAAGAAACAGAAACAAGAACAGAACAAAACAAAGAAACAAACAAAAA
ensembl:lncRNA